rnacentral:rRNA from 1 species
UAGGGAAUCUUCGGCAAUGGACGAAAGUCUGACCGAGCAACGCCGCGUGAGUGAAGAAGGUUUUCGGAUCGUAAAACUCUGUUGUUAGAGAAGAACAAGGACGUUAGUAACUGAACGUCCCCUGACGGUAUCUAACCAGAAAGCCACGGCUAACUACGUGCCAGCAGCCGCGGUAAUACGUAGGUGGCAAGCGUUGUCCGGAUUUAUUGGGCGUAAAGCGAGCGCAGGCGGUUUCUUAAGUCUGAUGUGAAAGCCCCCGGCUCAACCAGGGAGGGUAAUUGGAAACUGGGAGACUGGAGUGCAGAAGAGGAGAGUGGAAUUCCAUGUGUAGCGGUGAAAUGCGUAGAUAUAUGGAGGAACACCAGUGGCGAAGGCGGCUCUCUGGUCUGUAACUGACGCUGAGGCUCGAAAGCGUGGGGAGCAAACAGG